GGUGCUGAUGCAACACUACUACAUUACACUCUUCUUAAAGCUUCCUCCAACACUUUAUGCUUCGAACUGCAUUUCCAUAUUCUCUUCUGCUUCCACUUGUUUAACAACAAAACCUAUCAUCGCCAUCAUUCAUGCUUUCUUUCCUAAUCACUUAGCUUAGAAACAAUGCAAAGCUUCAACCCAACCGAAUCAGAAUCAACCUCGCCACUCUAUUCCCACUCUUCCUUCAUUCACCGGGGAAAUGACGCCAACCCAAAUCCCACGCGCUUCUCUGAUCUUCAGCAUUCUUUUCGGCAGCACGAUGCUGUUGAUUUAAGCUCAAGUUCUGUGUUUGGUGCGAAGUCGAACAAUAUGGCUGUUGUUGCAAGCAACUUGCAGUGUGGGACAUUCAACA